GCGCCAUCGGUGCGCGUUGCGUAUGAGGCGAGAGGAGGGGGCCUUAAAGGCGCCUGAUAGGAGCGAGGCCCCGCCAUGGCUCAAUGGGUUUGCAGUUUAUUGGGCCCUCGUUCACAAGGAAGCCCGAAGACCGUGUAGGUGGAUUAAACAACAUGGAGCGUGAUGACCAUGGCAUCCUGUUGAUCUGUUGGCUCUAUAAGCAAACUGAUAUUUGUCCAAUGUAUGUGGAAGACAAGAAAUGAUAUGCCUACAGACCAGUUUUGCACCCUCUCAGGUUUAGAAGGCAAUAUAAUUAUCCCCACUAGUAAAAUUUGCACAUUGUCACUGAAGAUCAAUCGAAGAUGUAUUUGAAAUGGAAACAGCUAUCACUAGUCUCAUGCCUGAUUCAUGGUAUAUUCUGUUGUUAUCAUCUCCAUACAAACAGCAACACACAACCGUACACACAAAAUGUUCCAAUGGAUUUUGUCAUCACUACACAAUCAAAAAGUCUGCUUUGUAAACUCAUGUAGACCUUCAGACAUCAAUGCAUAUUAAAUGCAUCUUUUCCUGAAGUGUGUUGUGUGCCUUCAAGUUGACUGUUGUCUUAUGGCAAUCUCAUGACUUUCUUAGCAAAGGGUUACUUCAGAUGUGGUCUUGCCAGUUCCUUCCUUUGAAAUAUAGCCUGCAACACUUAGAAGUUGUUGGCAAUCUCCCAUACAAAUAUUAAACGUUUUAAAAAUCAUGGACUUUUAUUUCAUUAUCAGGCACAUCUUGAUCAUGUAACUUCAGGGGUUGGCUAAGGACAAGUGUACAUAUGCAUUCUUCAUCAGACAUAGGCAGAAAAGCAGACACUUCAUCCUGCUUUCAAUGGGCUUUCUGAUGGGGAAGAUGCUUCAUAUCCACACUCUUGAAAAAAAUGUAUUGUGGUUAUGAGGGGCACUUCUAACUUGUAUGUAGGAUUGUGUCCCUAAAGUUCCACUCAAGUGCUGAGAAAAUCUUCAGCAUUUUUUAUCUCCACUGAUUCCUUCCUUUAUAAAGACUAAGUUGCUAAUCUCUUGCUUUGUAAAAACAAGACUUCAAAGACUAUGAGUUUGUACAUGGUGUACUCCUAGAAAUUAGAAAAACAUUUAAGUAAGAUUUCUAACGUUUCCAUAGAUAUUGUCCACCCCAUGACAAGGGAGAAAGCAGAAUAUUUUGCAAACUGAUUAUCUGCUUAAAAAUGGAGAAAAUGUAAAAUUUGUUUUUUGUCAUAGAAUUCUUGGCAUAAAAAUUUACAUCGCCCCACUCCCAUAACACAAAUAGACAUAGAAUAAAAUGUUUAACAUAUACCUGCACCCUCCCUAAAUGUGCACAAUCCAACAAAAGUAGAAAAACACAAAUUUAAAAACUGCAAAGCAAUUUAAGAGAGAACACUUAUCUAGGUAUUUUAGGUCCUCCAGUGUGAUUCUGGAGUCAACGUCAGGCAAUAUAUUUUUGUUCCCUUAUAGGGCAACAGCUGUAGACUGUAAAUAAUCAAAUUCAUAAAUGUUUAACCUGCAAAUUUGGAAGGGUGAUAGAUCCCUUGAUGAUCAGUAUUUUUUUGCUGCCAGUAAUGCAACAGGCUUGAAGUGUAGCUUGCUACAUCACCCCCAAAGACUAUUCUAUGUAUAUGUAGUUUUCCCUUUUAUUUUCCAAAUCAGUGAAAUCUCAACUACAUCUACUGUAAUACAGGUCACCUAUCCCUUAUCCCCUCUGGGAGGUGGAGCAGGGUACAAAUAAAGAAUUAUUUUAUUGCCUCCAGAGGCAAACCAAGAAUGGGCAACUUGGAAGUCCCUAAAUAGGCUCAGAAGCGGAGUGGACAGAUCAAAAGACAACUUGGCAAGAUGGCACUACCUGGAGGAAUCAUCCACCUUGUGUGACUGUGGAGCAGAACAAACAACUCAUAUGUAUGCUUGCCCACAAUGUCCUGCCUCAUGUAACGAGUUGUUUAAAGCUACGGUUGCCUGCUUUUGGUCUAAAACUAUUUAGCUGCUUGUGAUUCCUUCAUUUCAUCACUUUUAAACUUAUUUAUUAUGCAAUGCUUUUGGCACUAAAUAAAUAAAUAUUCUUAUUAUCCAGAAUUCUAGAAUAUUCCAAAAACCUAAACUUUUGGAGCUACAGCAUGUACUUAUAGAGAGAUACAGGGCCUGUGAAAUGGAAGGAACCUAGACUUGCCAUAAUUUCAGAUUCUUCCAUCUCUCACCAGCUAAAUGAACAAAAAUAGCAGCACAGCUGUCAGAACUGGGCUGUAAGUACUGGGUUUCCAGUGACAAAAAUCUUGGGUAAGAGACCCUGACUGGGAACUGGUGAUGGAAGAAGGGAAAUGAGAAGGUGCUGACUUUUUUUGCUGCAAGGCUCUAGUUUGGGCCAAGAGAAGAUGAAUUUGGCCACUGCUUCUCCCUCCCUCUUGCUCCUCUUCUCAACCAAGAGAUGGGAGGGGGAGCCCAAACCAGGGUUUACUACCAUCUCUGCUGCUGCCCUUACACCCUUUUAUAUACUGAUACUCAUAGUAUAUUUCAAAACCUUUAAAAAAUCAACAACCCUGAAAUACAGGUUUCUUCUGGUCUCAAGCAUUAUGGAUAAGGGAUAUUAAAUCUUUAUUUUAUGUGGUCACCAUAAGUUGAUAGGCAACUUUGCAUUUGGGGAUGUGAGGUGAAGGACACUGAUCCAAAAAUGAAGACAGGAAAAAUAGGUCUUCCAGUUUGUUAUGUCAUUUUCAUGCCCCCUUUCUCACCAGAGCAGGACCUAAAGUGCUUUCUACAGAAAAUAAAUUUAAACCACCUUAACAGUAAACAUUUAAAAAUAAUAUCACAUUAAACAGUAUAAAAUCAUUUGAAAUAUAUGAAGUUUUUUUUAAAAAAAACAUUCAAUUCAAUAAAAAUUUUCCUGGUUAUGCAUUAAAACUGGCUUAAACAAAAAAGGUCAUUGCCUGCUGACAAAAGGAAAGUAGGGGGCAGGCUGGCCUCCUGUAGGGCAUGCCAAAGGGUGUAAAGCACCACUGAAAAGCCUCUCUCUCUCUGUCCUCACCAAAGGAGCCUGCAAUAGUGGUGAUACUGAGAGCAAGCCUCCUCCUGAAUAUUUUAAAGCCCUGGCAGGUUCAUAUGGGGAGAUAUAGUUUUUCAGACACUCAGAAAUGAUGUGAAAGCUUUAGGAAUGAUGAGAAACCAGUUCAAAUCAAACACUGAAUUUUCAAUUUCAGAAAUUUAUUUAAAUGACACAGCAUAAGACUUUGUAGUUAUUAGAAAUAAGAAAAAGCAUUCCACUUUGAAACAUUAUGCUACAUGUAAUUACACAGUCAUAACACUAACAUCCUUCCUCAUGUUCAGGGCCCUGUUUGUUUACUUCGUGCAUUAUAUUCCUCUGACUUUGAUUUUAAAGAAAGGGAGGUUUCAGUGUUGGCAUAACUUUUCAACUUUGUGCCAUGCUUCUAUAGCAGCAUAAGUAGCAGCACAAACUGCAAAUGGCUUUACAGAAAAUCUGAACUAGUGCUGAGAUACACAAGUACCUUGAUGCUUCAAAUUAUAUAGUUACGACUGCUGUUUUUCAUGCAGUACUUGAAACUGGGUAAGUGAAAAUUAACAGUCCCCAUGGCAGAAAACCUGAUCACUAGGAAUUUAGUUGAGCAAACAUUUUCACAGGAAAGAAUAAAACCAUUCAACUAGUCUUUCUUAUUAACAAGAAGGUGAAUAUAGUUUUCAAAUGAAUCUGUACUUGAUCAGUACCAAAAAUCAAAGAGCUGUCAGAAGCAUAAUAAUACCUGCUAUUCAAAUAGUGAUACUCAUUCUAAAGGCAAGGUCUCAAUUUAUAUUUUUCUGAACUCUCUAACGAAAUAGACUGGUUAACUUUACUUUUCUACAAAACACUUAAUAACAAGGCUGAUUCCACAGAAAAGGAUUGGAUAUCUUUCCUCAAAAUGGAAAUAAAAUGGACAGCACUCUGGCAAUGUACACAUACACACUCACUCGACUGACAUAAGACUGGGUGUACGUGGGGUAAGGGAGGCAAGGCUUGUUAGGCUUGCCUUCACAAAAGCACUAUGUCAUCAUUCCUGUUGCAGAUCUGCACUUGAUAUUACAACUGGCUCUUCCUUGAUAUCUUUACUUUCAGUGGUUCUCAUUUCAGAUAAAUUCUCCUCUGCUGGCUCCAUAUGCUGUUGUCGCUCCCUUUGGAUUUCAGCUGCUCUUUCUUCUGAACCUCCUUGGGAUGAGAAUGGCAGCUCUUCCACUAUUCCUACAGCUACUGUUCUCUCUUCUGCCUGCUGUUGGUUCUCUGCAGAUUCACCUUUAGAAAAAUCUGCAGGAGGGAAGGCUGUCUCAUCCCCUUCUGGUUUAGCAGUUUCACCAGCCUCACUGGGUUUGACCUCAUCACCAGCAUUCUGUUUUUCCUCUAUAGCUGUAUUUUCUUGAGUCCCUUCACGGUCUGCCCUCUCUACAGCUUCAGAUUCAUCAACAUCUUGGUCAAUGUUCUCAUCUGUAAAUGGGUCAUCACCCUGACAAAGAGAGGAAUCACGUUAUCAAAAUUGCAGUCAUCUAAAGUUCUCUUAGAGAACCUCAAGCCUAAAAUGCAGAAAUUUGCAACUGAGUGAUUGAAAACUAACAUCUUCAUUUGAAAGCAGAUUAGCACAAAUCACUGCCCUGUUUAUCAAGGUAAUGGACUAAAUUUUUGCUGAAAUUCUUUACUUAAGGCUACCACUAUCUUCAGUCUAUGAAUGUGGCAUUAUCUGAAAUAUGCUGAAGCUUCAGCCUCAAAAGAACAGGUUAAAAUUGGCAGAAGUAGUUCUAGUGUAGUAAAUGAAGUGAAUACAAAUACAGUACCCAUGAUCUUGGACAUUUGUUCAUUUCUCUAUUUACAUUUUGGGCACCUAGCACAAAACACUAUGUUUAGUAAAUGCCCAGUAAUCUCAGAAACUCUCAAUUAUUCUAUUUUAGUCCAGGGUCGUAUGGCUAUAAAUCAAUGAUGGCUACUCACACAUUUCAGUAAUCUUGUUGGGCAGAACACUUUCCAUGUCUGAUCACAGCACAUUAGGAAAUUCUCUUGGAAAUUCCUCAUACAGAAGUCAUACUAAUCUUCUUCAGACUGAAAUUAGAGCUUACAGUCACCCAACAUGGAGGCAAUGCUCUACUCUAACUUUGUUCAACAUUCUCUUCUUUACUAAAGAAAACAUUGUAUGGAAACAGUAGACAUACACUAGUGUUGUUCUACUGGAUGUCAAAAUCACUACGUAGCACGUAGUAUCAUAACAGGCUUAAAAACAUUUCCUCCCUUCUUGCAAAUCACUCUUAUGUGACUGACCUAAAGCAGCUAUAUAGAAGGGAAGACAGCAUUCCGGAGUAGAAAUCUAGUCCAUAAUCUGAUCAAAUUAAAAUUACACUUUCUAAACUCACAUACAUAUCAAGUACAGUAGUUCAAAUGUCCUGCUUUUUCUGCUAUCUCUAUGGAGCCCCACCCACGUAAACUGGGUUUAGCAACUCAGCUAGGGAUUUCUGCACCCAAGAACUGAGUAUUUCUGUUUUAUGACCCAGGUGGGUCAAAUGCAAACCAGGCUGUCUCCAUAAAAGAAGAACCAUGCAGGUAAGAGACAAGUAGUGUCCCCUUCUCUGGCUGAAAUCAACCAGUCAGCCUGAUUUACUGAUUUAUGGAGUUUCACAGAGCUCUAGGCUCUACCUUGUGAUUAGGUCAGUGUUCAAGAAUCAUCUCUUGAUUUGAACAGUCUUGCCCUGCCUUCAGCCUUCCUUUCAUGGGUAAGGCGAUGAGAAGAGUUUUGUUGGGGGCAGCUCUGCCAUUACCUGGAAUCCUCAGAUUUCCUUCACCCCUUUCAGCUUGGUUUUGCACCUGGGUAUGGUACGGAGACUGUGCUGGGUGGGUCGAAGAUCUCCUCCGGCUGAUUGACAAAGGUCAGGUGUCCAUGUGGAUUCUGUUAGACCUGUUGGCAGCCUUUGAUACUGUUGAUCAUGAGGUGUUGCGGAGGCACCUGCGGACCCUAGCAGGGGUAGACGGAGUUGCGCUUGAGUGGUUCCAUUUUGUCCUCCGAGGGGUCCCAGAGGCUGGCACUGGGCAACUGCUCAUCUGCCCCAAGGGCUCUCUCAUGUGAGCAACCGCAGGGUUUAUUCUGUCACCCCUCCUGUUCAACGUGUAUGAGAGGCCGCUAAAGGAAGACAGCCUCAGCUCAUAGGCCAUCAGUGCCAACAACAGGCUGAUGUUCUCAGCUCUGUCUCUUAUUGGGCCCAGAGAGCAUAGUCUCACUUUUCACUGGCGUCGGCCUGCCGGAGACUAGUUUAUUAGCAGGUAGGCAUUCUGGAUAAAACCAAAAUAUUGCCAAAAUGGGGUAGGGGAACAUGGUAGAUGCAAGAUCUACUCCCCUAUGGCUAAUGUUUGCUAUAAGAGGGUUCUGUUAGUCUUGAGUUGCUCCCGGAUUCCCAGAGAACAGUAGCAGGCAUACUUAUUCUCUUUUCAUCUUCAUCUGGUCAGUUAUUCUGCAAUCCUACAUCUAAAAAUAGAAUUCACCUGCAACCUCAUAUAUACUACAUGAGCAAACCUUUGAUGGUCACACAGAAGUGUUCACUUGACCUCAAAUGCCAAUUUAGGAAGGCAGACUUAUCAUGUUGCCUCUUUUGAAACUUUGCUAUAUUUUCAAUUCUCAGAAGUAUAAAAUGCUAGUUUAACCUACAGAGUCAACAAGGCCCCUUGUUAUUUUAUGCACUACUUCUGACAGUUGGUAUCAGAACAAUUGAUGCCAACAGUAUCCCAGAAAUGAUCACUAGAGAAAACACAGACACUAAAAAUAAAUGUUCUCACUUUGCAAUGUUGUUUCCAGUUAGAAUGUCUCACCUGCUAAGGAAAUCAAAGCAGAAUCUCCUUUUCCACUUAGCUAAAAGCUUACCCCCACCCCACCCCCGAUCUCAUGAGCAGGGAACACAUUCAAUGCUUUAUCUUGAAAACAAUAAAUAUUUCAAACACUGAUUAAAUUGCCUUCCUUUCUCACUGAGCUAGUUUACAUUUAUCCUUUCCAGAGGAUAUUAAUUUUAUCAAUUUUCAUAUUAAUUCCAGUAGCUUUACCACAAUUUAUAAGCAGCUAAAGUUUUUAUAUACAUUCUGCUUACCAAAAAUGUGACCAUCCAACUAAUGAAAAAAAGGUGAUUUGCUCAAAGAGGUAGAAAUUAUUUUAAGCUUAGACCACUGUAUAAGAGUAAAUCAACAACAUUGCUUUACUCCAUCUUUUAUGAAAGUCCCAUGCUACACACUCAGCAAUGCCAGUGCAAUGCUCAGUCAAUGAGAAGCAGCAGGACUGAGCGGCAAAUACGCUGCUUACUUACCUUGAGAUACUUUUCUAGCAUUUUCACUAUGUGUUUGCUAUUUAGGACACUUUUAGCUACAUGGAAACUAGUCUUCUUGAAAUGUUCAGCUGCCAUCUGGAAGUAACAAGUAUAUGAGUCAUUAUACUGGUUAUGUAUACAAUAAGCACAAUACUACGUUCCUAGUUAUCUCUCUUAUGUUACAGCAUCAACUUGGUGCUCACACGCACCCAUGCAUCUCAUGAUACAUAAAUACCUAAAAGUAAAGAUGGCCUCCAUUAGAUGUACUGUCAAAGGUACUGGACUGUGCAACAAAAUAUACAAAAAAAGCCUCAUCAAAGUUUGUGGUGAGAUUUUUGCCAUGUUAUUCACAAAUUAUAUGGGUUUAUAAUCUAGAGUUUCUAUGAUAACUAGUCAUAAGACAUUCCUGAUAGAUGAAGAAGGCGUGGGAAGGAUAUUUCUGAUUAUCCUUCUUCUCUGCAAUCCCCAUAUCUCCCAAAAUUUGAUGAAAGGAACCUUCCAGAAAAACCUGAGAGGUUGCUAGAAAGAUGGAUGAAAAAAAUUAAUAAAAACAGCUCUUCCAUUGAAGGAAGGACACCUCUUGAAGCAAGCUGCGAUCACUAUAGAAUCAUAGAAUAAUAGAGUUGGAAGAGACCACAUGGGGCACCUAGUCUAACUCUACCAUGCAGGAAAAGCAAAAUCAAAGUACCCCUGAUAGAUGGUUAUCCAGCCUCUGUUUAAAAGCUUCCAAGGAAGGAGCUUCUACCAUAGAAUCAUAGAAUCAUAGAAUCAUAGAAUAGUAGAGUUGGAAGAGACCACAUGGGCCAUCUAGUCCAACCCCCUGCUAAGAAGCAGGAAAUCGCAUUCAAAGCAUACCAAACUCCAAGGCAUAGAGUUCCGCUGCUGUACAGCUCUUAUAGUCAGGAAAUUCCUCCUAAUGUUCAGGUAGAAUAUCCUUUCCUGUAAUUUGAAACUAUUGCUCUGAGUCCUAGUUUCUAGAGUAGCAGAGAACAAGCCUGCUCCUUCCUCACUGUGACAUCCUUUCUAGCUGUAAUGUCUCCUCUCAGCCUUCUCUUCUGCAGGCUAAACAUACCUAGCCCUUAAGACACUUGUCAUAGAGCAUGGUCUCCAGAUCUUUGAUCAUUUCAGUUGCCCUUCUCUGGACACCUUCCAGUUUGUCAAUAUAUCUCUUGAAUCGUGGUGCCCAGAAUUGGACACAAGUGAGAUCUAACCAAAGCUGAAUAAAGAGACACCAUUACUUCCCUCGAUCUAGACACUAUACUCCUUUUGAUGCAGUCCAAAAUCCCAUUGGCUUUUUUAACUGCUGUAUCACACACAGUUGGCUCAUAUUCAACUUGUUGUCCAUGAAGACUCCAAGAUCUUUCUCACAUGACCUGUUGUCGAGCCAGGCAUCGUCCAUGCUGUAUCUUUGCAUUUCAUUUUUUCUGCCUAAGUGUAAAACCUACAUUUAUCCUUACUGAAAUUCAUGUUGUUAAUUUUUGCCCAGCUCUCUAAUCUGUUACGGUCAUUUUGAUUCUAAUCCUGAGUAUCAGCUAUCCCUCCUAAUUUGGUGUCAUUUGCAAACUUGAUAAGCAUGCCCUUUCAACUUUGAUUCAUGUAAUUAAUAAAGAUGUUGAACAGUACUGGGCCCAGGACCAAACCCUGCGGCACUCCACUAGUCACUUCUUUCCAGGAUGAAGAGGAACCAUUGGUGAGCACCCUUUGGGUUCGGUCGCUUAAUAAAUUACAAAUCUGCCGAAUAGUAGCAUUGCCUAGCCCACAUUUGACUAGUUUGCUUGCAAGGUCAUGGGGGACCUUGUUGAAGGCCUUACUGAAAUCAAGAUAUGCAACAUCCACAGCAUUCCCUGCAUCUACCAAGCUUGUAACUCUAUAAAAAAGAGACAAGAUUAGUCUGGCAUGACCUGUUUUUGAGGAAUCCAUGUUGACUUUUAGCAAUCACAGCAUUCCUUUUGAAGUGAUUACAGACUGCCUCCUUAAUGAUCUGCUCCAGAAUCAUCCCUGGUAUUGAUGUCAAGCUGACUGGACAGUAAUUUUUUGGGUUCUCUUUUUUCCCUUCUUGAAGAUAGGGACAGCAUUUUCCCCUCCUCCAGUCUGCUGGGACUUUUGUUCUCCAAGAAUUCUCAAAGAUUAUUGCCAGUGGUUCUGUAAUUACUUCUGCUAGUUCCUUCAAUACUCUUGGAUGUAGUUCAUCUGGCCCUGGAGACUUGAAUUCAUUUAGAGUAGGCAUGUAUUCCUGGACUACUUCUUUAACUAUUUUGGGUUGCAUUUCCCCUAUUACCUCAUUCGCUUCCAUAUUGCUCAGGUUGAACACCAAUCGUCUUUCGGGAGAAGCCUGAGGCAAAGAAGGUGUUAAGCAGCUCUGCCAUUUCCCUAUCCCAUUAGUAUUUCAUCACCUUCUCCUCGUAGACGCCCCACUGUUUCAUUUUUGUUCCUUUUUCUACUGACAUAACCAAAGAACCUCUUUUUAUUGCUUUUAAUCCCUCUGGUAAGCAUAAGCUCAUUGUUAAUGUGGGAUUUGUGUAUUGGUAGUGUUUAAAUGAAAUUUGUGUCUUUCCUGUAUUGCAUACUGAUUGCAUCAUCCAGAGUGUAUUAUAGUCUGGAAAGAGUUAAUUACUAAGAAGCUGUGAUGACCUUGAUGUGUGGCUGGAACUGGGGAGUGUCCAGACACAAGUGUGUGUGCAUUGCUGAUUGCAUCAGUUCUGUUCUGUUCUUAGUCGAGUGCUGUCUGCCUAGGUGUUGAGUCAAGUCCUGUGUUCAUCCAUUGUCUGCAAGCUUGUUUGUCUUGAUUAUUACUGAAGUCAGUAAAACUUUGUAUAUAGUUUUACCAUUGUCUCUGAUGUCUCUCGUUCUGCGUUCCACUGACUCCAUCCAACUACUGCUGCGCUGCUAAUACUCUGACAAUUUGGUUAUGGGCCCAAACUGACCAGUUCCUAGACUGGACCAGAGCACAGACUGGACCUGAUUCUGGAGUUUGGAGUGGAGAAAAAGUUGGAGCUGCGAGUGUGACCAGAGACGGGACCCGCUGUUCUGGUGAGCCUGCUUUGGUGUGUCUUCAGUGGAAGAUUGAUUCCUGGAGAAGCAGAGCUGCAAGUGGGGCGUGCUGGAGCCUGACUGAUUGAUGAUCAGAAGUGAGAAGUGUGGAGCCAUAAAUCUUGAAGCUUGAGGGGGGCUUGCCAGAAGCUACUGAAAGUGUGGAACCAUCAGUGGCUGGGCUGAAACUCGAGAGCGAGGGUCUCCAGAAGGUGAGAUAAUGGCUGCCUCAAACUCAUUAACAAUGAUUGAGAAGUUAAAUGACCAUAACUACAAAGAAUGGUCUGUGUAUAUGCAGCAUUUGCUUGUGAGAGAAAGGCUGCAGAAGACGAUCUUAGGCACAGAUCUUAGGCACUCUGACACUCAUUUUAUGCUUUAGCCUUAUGAACCUUUUCUCUACAUACGUUGGUUAUUUGUUUCAAUUCCUCUUUGUGAAUUUUCCCCUUUUCCAUUUCUUGUGCAUGUCUCUUUUAAAUCUUAUCUCCAUUAAAAGUUCUUUGGACAUUCAUUCUGGUUGUUUUACACUUCUCUUAUUUUUUCUCCUUGCUGGCACUGUUUGAAAUUGUGCCUUCAGUAUCUCACUUUUAAGAAACUCCCAUCCAACAUUAACUCCCUUCCCUUUUAGUAUUCCUGUCCAUGGAAUCACAUUCAGUAUUUUCUUAAAUUUCCUGGUCAGCUCUCGUAAAGUCUAGAAUGCAUGUUUGACUUCUCUUAGUUUCCCCCUUCCUUUGCAUCACAAACUCCAGGAGCACAUGGUCACUACUGCCCAAGGAUCCCACCACUUCCACUCCACUGACCCUAUCCUCAGUGUUGGUUAGGAUCAGAUCAAAUAUGGAGAAAGUCUUUAUAGACAUUUAACACAGGAGUGGAAAUGGAGAUAUCCCAAAACGACCAGAAAAUGUUUAGGCCUUUAUACUGACAAAGUGAACAAACCUUACUACCUGAGCUAACAAAUGUGACAGUUUCAUCUACUGUUACUUAAAUGUUUAAUAUAAAAACCCUGUUAACAUUUAAUAAAACUUCCUUUCCUGAUUACCCUUAUAUAAAUAGUUCAUAUGGUAACCAUCCACUCCCUACUGUAUAAGUGAUGAUGUUAUUGUAUAUUGCUGCUGCAGUCCCCCCCACCCAUAUCGACUGAAAGGUACUUGUUGGUUGAUUGAUUUACUGCUGUAUUAACUCUUGUUUUAUUGUCUUACUGUGUUUUAUUAUUUUUUGUAUAUUGUUCAAUGUAUUUAUGCUGUUGUUUCUGUAAAUUGUGUCAGUUGGGCCUUGCCCUGUGUGAGCCGCCCUGAGUCCCCGUGGGGAGAUGGUGGCGGGGUAUAAAUAAAGCUAUUAUUAUUAUUAUUAUUAUUAUUAUUAUUAUUAUUAUUAUUAUUAUUAUAACUUGAGGAGGGGCCAUGGUGCCCUAAAAACCAGAAUACAGAACAGUGGAUUCAAAUGCCAGGAAAAGAGAUUCCACCUAAACAUUAGGAAGAACUUCCUGAUAGUAAGAGCUGUUUGACAGUGGAAUAUGUUGCCUCCUUGGAGUGUGGGGGAGGCUCCUUCUACUUCACCACCUUUAAGCAGAGGCUGGAUGGUCAUCUGUUGGGAGUGCUUUGAUUCCAUGUUCCUACAAGGCAGAAUAGGGUUGGACUGUAUGGCCUUUGGAGUCUCUUCUAACUCUAUGAUUUUAUGAAUUUGUAUAUCCCUUUCAUUCUGUAUUGAAAAAGUACCAGUUCUAGCCCCCCCCCCCCCCCCAAUAAAGAUUAGAACCCUGAUAUCCACAUUUUGACUAUAACGACAGGGCAAAUUACAAACAUCACUGAAGCAUGAAAGCAGUAAGUAAAAAACAAUUCAUAAAUUCUAAGCAGCCAUCUUUUCUACCAAUCACUUAAGAAAAUCUUUUCCUAGCCUUUUCAGUCUGAAGGAUAACAGGAACUCUAUAGACAAACAAGUAUAGAAUCAUAAUCCAUACUCCACAGAAAAACAACCAACAUUAGUAGGCCUCAUAUUAUGAUCCCUGAUAACCUGGAAUCUGCACACAUAUUCUUUACACUAAUUAGAAUUAUUAGAUGUUCAGCACACAAAUAAACUGCUGGUCUGCACUUGCCUUAAAUGUUAUGAAAACCUCUUUUGAUUUUUUUUCUUUCAUUUUGUGGUAGGAGACAGAAUAUAUUUCUCCCCCUUGAUAUAAAUGGUUUCUUGAUGAAAGGCAUAUAACAAAUCACAAAUACUUGCUUUUCCUAUAGUGAAGUAACUUUCAAUUUGAACUACUUUACCUAAAGCAGAUAAAUAUUUUAUUAGCAACCAAGAACUAUAGAUCCCAGAAUGGGAUAUAAGUAUCAGAUAGAGAUGAUCUAUCUAAGCAUUAAUGACUAAUACUGUAAACCUAAACAACUUGUUAAGAAGUAAGCCCGAAUCAACUCAGCAGGAAUUAUUUUAGUAAACUGCUCCACAGGGCUAUACUAUAAGACUUCUCUUCUAGGGUGCUUACCCUGCGAUUUCUGUUGUGAUCAACAGACCGUAAAUGCCUCUGAAGAAGAUGUGGUUGUGCAGGAAUUAGCAUAUCACAAGCUAUGCAGUGAGCUGCUUCUAUCUUUUUAAAAAAGUGCUCCUGGUCAAUUCCUGAAAAAGUAGAGACACGAAAAUAACCCAAUUCUCACCAGUGGCCUACUUUAAUAAUUUUAAGCAGAUGAAUUAAGGAAAUGCUGGGCAUGCCAUUGAGAAAAAUCCAUCGCUUACUAGAACAUCAAAGUACCUCAAAAGCAUUGGUUCACUUCAUAAUAUGCUGGGGCAAUUUGUCCCAAAUAUAUUGAAAGUUAACAUAGUGGCAAUGUGAAUAAGCUGAAUUUCUUGUCCAGGUGUCUAUCCUUUGGAUAUAAGGAUCUCCGCCUCCAUGCAAAAGUCUUACUGCACAUCAUAAAGAAACCUUUUGACAUUAUUAACUCUUGCCUGAGCUUACCCAGUUUUCUAAAAUAAUAUCAGAUAGCAGCUAUAAAUGAAGAUACAUGUCUUUCAAAGACAAUCACAGCACAUCGCUACUUUUAUAGGACAUCUGACUUUUGCAUCAAGAGUUCAACCACAAUACCACUAAAAUGUCAGAACCUAUUUGGGAGUGGGGAAAAUAUCACAGCAAAAGGCUUUAUGAUGGAAGAAACCAUUGCUACAAUUUCCAUCUGCCUUUUUGCAGCUAUCACUCUACCUCAUAUCAACUUUAGCCACUGAACAACAAAUGAUAGUAACUAGAACAGCACUCCUGAGGGAAAUAAUCCGAUACUAGAUGAAGCUUGAGAUCUGUAUAAGUAUUAAAAAAUAUGUAAGAAAAAUAAAAAAGGUGUUGAGUAUCUUUUGGGGCAGUAGGAAAAAAGUGAUAAAAUGGCUGACUGGCACAUCCAUUAAGAAUAGCUGAUAUUACUACAGCAUUUUAGUGCAGACUCCACUUGCUUUCACUAAACUGCUUGGAUUUUCUUGGAAGUGUCAGGUCAGUCACUGCUAGAAAUGAGAUACAGCCUCGGUAGAAACUCAUCCUGAUCUGGUAGGACUCUUCUUCUGUGGAGAACAGAGGCGGAUCAAACUAGAUAAAGGGACCCUGCAAACUCUUCAAAGGAAGUUCUUAGAGCAUUUUUCUCAAUUAUGUCUUUCAAGAUCUUUUAGCAAAACCAAUCCUAAAUCCCCAGAAUAGGAAAAAAAUUGAAUUUGUAUACUAUCCUAGUUUCUUGCAUAAUCAAAAGGUAUAUUCUAAAAGUGCUAUUUUUUCCUUAAAUUUUAAAAAGACACAAUGGUUAUAAAAAUAGGACUAAAAUGAAUCUAUUUCAAAGGACUGCUUCAAAAAAUGAAAAUGUGAUAUGCUCAUGUAUGACACUCUUGGUUCAUUUAAUGAAGAUGAAGAUAAAAUAAACAAAGCUACUUGGAACUAAGAGUUAUGGGUUCAUCUUUUUUCCUCCUUCUGCCCAGCCUCUGCUGCCUUUUUUGCACAAUAGACCACUCAUCCCACUUCAUGUUGGCUUUGUCUAGAUUCUACUAAGUCAUUUAAGUGCACUUGUUUUUCUUGUCUCAGGCUGAGAUAGCGUUAUACCAACAUUAUGCCUAAUGAAAAACUAAAGAAUAUCUUAUCCCCGAACACACUUUCUAAAUGGCAGUUAAAGAAUUAAUGACAGACACCUCUAUUGAAUAAUCUUCCACUUACCUUUGAAAGGGUCUGGUUUUGGUUUGGUGCUCUCUUUCUCUGUCAGCUCUUGCCGACGCUUCCCAAUUUUCUUGUUUCUAUUAACAAUGUAUUUCUGGGAAUUGGGAUAAAUGCGUAUAUAAAUCAGUUUCAUAAACAUGAAAUAAUAAAAGGAGUUGAAGAGGAGACAUCGUAAGCAAAGCAAAAGCCUUUUUUCCACUAAAGACAAUAUCAUAGAAAUACAUAGCUUUAGACAAAUUCUUUUAUCAUCAGGCAAGUGGAGAACCGUGGAAUAUGCAACAAAUGGCUUAAUGGCAGAUUCACAGACCCCAUUUUAUAUGAAACUAUAACUACUUUUGGAAACUCUUUAGGCAACAAUAAUCUCAACUAUUCUCAAUAUGCUAUAAUGAUAAGGCCUAUUUUCCAAACGUUAACAGUUUUAAAAUGACAUACCUGCAGGAAUUCUACAGUUUUGUCAGGCAAUUUGGUCCCAAUGUAUUGCAAGACAUCUUUGUGAAAUUUGCUUUGUAAAUGCUUCUCCAUUUCUUCUUCUUCAAGACUUCGAAAUUUGCAUACAGAGCAAGCAAACUGAAUUCUAAAGGAAGGCAUUUAAAUUUAUUUGUGUUACACAAAGACCUGAAGUCAGCAUUUCUUCAUUUUACAAAAGAAAUUACUGAUAAACUCCUUACAAAAACAAUUUCUAACAUCCUGACAAAAGCAAUUAAAUUAUGGUUCCCAAAUUCUUUUUAUCACUUCCACCUAGUAUUUUGCUAUAUUUCAAAGCUAAAAUAAAAUAUAGUUUAAUCUAAACAGUGAUACAUUUGAAGAAAAGCAGAGAUACAAGUCUUACUGACCUAGUGCGUUUUCACAGCAUCAGAGUGUAUUUGUUUAUGGGUUCUCUAAAAAGGUCUUUACUUCUACUGAGAAUGAUAAACUCCUGCUGUUUUACAUUGUUUUAUAAUGCAAACAUAAUUAAAAUACACCUAUAUCUUCAUCAAAAAUCUCUGUCUAUGUAACAUAUCCAACAUUCUUUUUUGAUGUCUCCUCUAAAAAGAGAAAGAGAGAAAAUGAGAAAAUCUGAACCAGCCUCUUGUGUUUUAGGUCUGAAUCCUAUCGCUAGUCCCAACUGAAGCAGAGCCACUGAAUCCAUUAAAUUUACAAUGCAAUGUAUUAAAAUCAAGUGAUUUUAAUGUAAUAGGCCUACUGUAGUUUUACAAAGUAAAGUUCAUUCUUUAUUACUAAAAAUGUUGACGAAAAUCCUGAGGGAGUCUGGGUGGUGUAGUGGUUUGAGUGGUACAGUUCAGUUUUAAUUAAGUCUAUUUGUUAUAUUGCUCAAGCUUAUAUUUUGAUCUUAUUGCUCUUUUCAAGGAUUGUAAACUGCUUUAAAGGGCCAUCUGAGAUGUAAGAUAGUUUAUCUAAAUAUACCAAGUCUUAACUGGGCAAUUAAAAGGAACUAAAUUAAAUAAUUGACAGGGAGCAAGAUCUACAGGCCAAUUCAAGACAAUGGGGUUUAUUUUAAAAUUUCUUUAAACUAUAUAAUCUUUUCAAGCAUGCAGAUACAAACAGUUCACAAUAAAUUGUUGCCAGCUAUCUCCUGCCAACCUAGCAGUUCGAAAACAUGCCGAUGUGAGUAGAUCAAUAGGUACCGCUCCAGCGGGAAGGUAACGGCGCUCCAUGCAGUCAUGCCAGCCACAUGACCUUGGAGGUGUCUACGGACAACACCGGCUCUUCGGCUUAGAAAUGGAGAUGAGCACCAACCCCCAGAGUCAGACAUGAUUGGACUUAACGUCAGGGGAAACCUUUACCUUUUAUCAUGCAAGUUAGCAUUCUUGAUAGUAUAUUUUCCAACAACACAGGAAUGAAAUUAUUUUGUUAUCUAUAAUCUCAACCAUGACAAUCUAUUCCUCUGUAUACCCCAGUCCCAUGAUUUGUGCAAUCUCUUUUUGUGAAAUACAUUUUUGUGAAUAUUCCAAAUUCAAUGUUUUAAACGGGAAACAACCAUAACAUAAGGAGAAAACAGCUCAGGUAACUAAAGUGAAACCUGCAAAAGGCACAGCUGCUGUGUAUUCAAGAUCAGGUCUGCUAUGUCACCCAAUAUUAUUUUAAAAAACUGGAACUGGAGUUGGAUUUUUUUAAACCAACUGUUUUUGUAGAUAUAGAAAGGGUUUAAUUCAUUUAGUUACCUGUCCAUAGCACGGUCACGCAUUCUAUCCCUUUGCCUCUGUUUCUCUUUUCUUUGUUUUGACUCUUCAUCAUCACCAGUUGCUACAGAAUGUUAUUUAAGCCAGAUGUUUAUUAAUAGUUUCAUCCAACUCUUACAUAAACAAAACAAGACACAGAGAACAAGAAGGGCUAAAUGGAAGGGCUACAAAGGUGUGGGGGAGAGGAAUCAGAUGUCACCUAUGGUGAAACAGAUAUAAUGAGUGUAACGCAAAGCUAAGAAGACAGUUCUUUUAGCAUACUUCUGGGAUAGUAAUACUUUACUUUUUGAGCCAUAUCUCCUUUUGCCUUGAUCUGCAUUUUUCAGCAGCAAAUGUAGAUCUCACAUGACAACUAAAAAGCAUUUACCUUGUUAAUGCUCCAUAUAGCAAAGUUAUUUUUAAAGUUAUUUACAGUGUUUGGAAACUCACGUGUUUGCACCAUUUUGACAUAAGCAUAGCACAUAAACUGCAAGAAUAUUUGCAUAAAUGCUUACCCAAGGGAAAAAGUACUACUUGCACCAUGCAGAAUUCAACUCAGUGGAAGGACUUUUCAAUUGUGCUCAUUAAGAGGUUUUCAUCCUUCAAUCAGCCCUCAAAACCCUAUAGUAGUAUAACAGUGUUGAAUCCAAAGGCAUGAGUAGUAAAGAAUUCGGACAUAUAUACCCACUAAGUUGUAAUGUUCACUGGGUUGCCUUGGGAAAGCUAGUUUCUUUCAUGGGGUAACUGAACGCUUUAAUUGUGCUGAAGGAAUGUUUAGGAAAUACAUGACUUAUGUUUAAUAUAUAAGUUUUAACAAAAGAGAAGAUGCUGAAUGGUUUAAUCUCAAAUAUAUCAAUAAAGAAGUUGUGCCAAUCUGCAUCCUUCCACCAGAAAAAUGGUCACUGUUAGUGGGUUAAAACUGUUCUUCCCUUAUAGACCUCCAUGCCUAUCUCAACAAGAGUUAGGGAAGUUUGCGGAAUAGAUGUGGAGAGCAUAUGGAGAAGAGAAAGAGAAGAACUCCUUUUGCAUGAGUGGACCACGUCGAUAAUACUGAAUUUGGCUACAAGUGUCUACAACACAUCAAAGAAAGAGAAGCUAGUGUGCUGGUCCUUUCUGAAACUCAGAGAGUAGAAUAAAAGCACUACCAUUAUCUGAGUCAUCUCUUUCGCUUUCAGUCUUCGCCUGUUUGCGGUCUGGCUCAUCUCCACUUUGGGACUGUUUUCGCUUAUGGAAUCCACCUUCAUUAUCCGAACGUCCACCAAAGCGGCCACGGAAAACUCUCCUCUUGGGCUGGAAAAAUAAAUUGAAAUAAAUAUGUCUGGCACAUCCCUACAUCAACAUGACCUAGGAACUGCAAAAUGAAACAUAAAAGUGUAAGGCUAGAAUACCGAGGCGAUCUGGUGAAACAAAAGGCUUUGCAGCCACAACUCUGCAGAAUGGUGGAGAAGGGAGAGCCAGUCCAGUGGUGGAGAAUACACACAGAUCUAUGCCUAAGCAACUGACCAGGUGACAGUCGCAUUGACGAAAAACAACAGGAAAAACUCAGCCGCUAUCAGGACCUCAAGAUUGAACUUCAAAGACUCUGGCAGAAACCAGUGCAGGUGGUCCCGCUGGUGAUCGGCACACUGGGUGCCGUGCCAAAAGAUCUCAGCUGGCAUUUGGAAACAAUAGACAUUGACAAAAUUACAAUCUGCCAACUGCAAAAGACCACCCUGCUGGGAUCUGCGCGCAUCAUCCGAAAAUACAUCACUCUGUCCUAGACACUUGGAAAGUGUUCGACUUGUGAUUUUGUGGGACGAAAUCCAGCAUGUCUAUCUUGUUUGCUGUGUCAUACAAUAAAAUAAUAAUAAUAAAGCUUUAUUUAUAUCCUG